AUUGAACGCUGGCGGCAGGCCUAACACAUGCAAGUCGAACGAGUGGCGGACGGGUGAGUAAUGUCUGGGAAACUGCCUGAUGGAGGGGGAUAACUACUGGAAACGGUAGCUAAUACCGCAUACCAUCAGAUGUGCCCAUAUGGGAUUAGCUAGUUGGUGGGGUAACGGCUCACCAAGGCGACGAUCCCUAGCUGGUCUGAGAGGAGGACCAGCCACACUGGAACUGAGACACGGCCCAGACUCCUACGGGAGGCAGCAGUGGGGAAUAUUGCACAAUGGGCGAAAGCCUGAUGCAGCCAUGCCGCGUGUAUGAAGAAGGCCUUCGGGUUGUAAAGUACUUUCAGCGGGAAGGCGGUACCUGCAGAAGAAGCACCGGCUAACUCCGUGCCAGCAGCCGCGGUAAUAC
rnacentral:rRNA from 1 species